rnacentral:misc_RNA from 1 species
AUCACCAAAAUCCAUAGAAAUCCAUCUAUACAUGUUUUAAAUGAGCCAAUUCUAUUCUUUUGAUUGAUGUGGUUAUAAUUUUUAAAACAAUUAAUUAGCUUAAUUACUAAGGUACAGAACCUUUGUAGGGCACUUGUUUACCAUAAUUGUAAGUUUAGAACAUUUGGUUAACAUAAUUAUAAGUUUGGUCGACAAAAUUUAAAUUUUUUAAAAUCAAUUUUAGACUUUGGCUAUAAUUGUACCCAAUGUGAAAUUUUGG